rnacentral:rRNA from 1 species
AACGAACGCUGGCGGCAGGCCUAACACAUGCAAGUCGAACGCGUGUAGCAAUACACGAGUGGCGCACGGGUGAGUAACGCGUGGAUAUCUGCCUUUUGGUUCGGAAUAACUCCGGGAAACUGGAGCUAAUACCGGAUGGUUCCUUCGGGAUAAAGAUUUAUCGCCAAAAGAUGAGUCCGCGUACGAUUAGCUAGUUGGUGAGGUAAUGGCUCACCAAGGCGACGAUCGUUAGCUGGGCUGAGAGGACGAUCAGCCACACUGGGACUGAGACACGGCCCAGACUCCUACGGGAGGCAGCAGUGGGGAAUAUUGGACAAUGGGGGCAACCCUGAUCCAGCCAUGCCGCGUGAGUGAUGAAGGCCUUCGGGUUGUAAAGCUCUUUUGGCGGGGACGAUGAUGACGGUACCCGCAGAAUAAGCCCCGGCUAACUUCGUGCCAGCCGCCGUAAUAC